rnacentral:tRNA from 1 species
GGUAGGAUGGUCGAGUGACUGGCGGAAGGCUGUAAACCUUCAGACGGGUUUAAUUCCCUCCUACCA